GGGAGGCUUCAGCAUGGCUGAAAUAACCAGCAAACCACAGGAGUUUAGGACAGAUAAGGACCAAGCAGCCAGAAGUGCAGAACAACCAACAAGAAGCACAGAACAACCAGCCCUUAGCAGAGAAGAACAAAGCACAAGCAGGAAACAAGUAAUCACAAGCAUGGAACAACCAACCAGAAGUGCAGAACAACAAACCACAAGUGUGGAACAACCAACCACAAGUAUGAAACAACCAACCACAAGCACAGAAUAAACAGCUCCUAGCCCAGGGCAACCAAUCACAAGUGGGGAACAGCCAGUCAUAAGCACAGAACAACCAAUUCCAAGCAUAGAACAACAAAAACAGGAGCAUAACAACCAACCACAAGCAGGGAACAACCAAUCACAAGUGCAAAACAACUAACCACAAGCAUGGAACAACCCACCACAAAUGGGGAACAAUCAACCAUAAGUGCAGAACAAUCAACCACAAACAUGGAACAAUCAACCAAAAGCAGGGAAGGAUGAAACGCAAACAUGGAAGAACCAACCACAAGUGGGAUCAACCAACUACAAGCAGGAAACAACCAAUGACAAGCACAGAAUAACCAACCACAAGUUGGUAACAACCAAUCACAAGUAUGAAAUAGCCAACUACAAGCAUGGAAAAACAAACCACAAGUGCAGAACAACCAACCACAAGUGAGGAACAACCACUCACAAGCAGGGAAUAACUAACCACAAGCAUGGAACAACCAGCCAUGAGCGGGGAACAACCAAUUACAAGGAGGAACCUACCAACCUGAAGCACAGAACAACCAACCGUAAAUAUGGAACAACCAAACACAAGCAGGGAACAACCAAUCACAAGCAGGGAACAACCAACCACAAGCACAGAACAACCAACCACAAGUGGGAACCGCUGAUAACAAGUGGAGAACAACCAUCCACAAAGGCAGAACCACUAUCCACAAGCACUCAGGACAGGAAGGAGAGGAUGAUCACCUGUCAAUACAAGUGCAGAGACACUGACAAGAAGACAGCCAAGCAAAUAGAGAUGUCCCUGCAAGCACAUGCAGCCACAAGAUCUUCUGAAGCAUCCAUCACUAGUUCAACAAAGCACAAGAGAAGUGAAUCAAAAUACCAGAUGGAAUUAGCUGGAGCAGAACCAAGAGACCUCGGAGACCUCCGCCGAUCCAAGUAAUGCACUGUGUAUAGAGAGCCCUGGAGAGCCUACAACUAUCUGCUGCAUCUCCAGAGGAGCCUGUGGAGAGAUGGCCAACCACGUAGAGACCAAAUGUUACACCAAUAGGCUACACAGAUUGCAAUUAUUAUUAACAUAAGAUCAACAAGAUAUGAAAAGAUGUGUGUGUCGCU
rnacentral:lncRNA from 1 species